rnacentral:rRNA from 1 species
AACGAACGCUGGCGGCAGGCCUAACACAUGCAAGUCGAACGCUCCGCAAGGAGAGUGGCAGACGGGUGAGUAACACGUGGGAAUCUUCCUGUUGGUUCGGAAUAGCUCAGGGAAACUUGGGGUAAUACCGGAUAAGCCCGAGAGGGGAAAGAUUUAUCGCCGACAGAUGAGCCCGCGUCUGAUUAGCUAGUUGGUGAGGUAAUGGCUCACCAAGGCGACGAUCAGUAGCNGGUCUGAGAGGAUGACCAGCCACACUGGGACUGAGACACGGCCCAGACUCCUACGGGAGGCAGCAGUGGGGAAUAUUGGACAAUGGGCGCAAGCCUGAUCCAGCCAUGCCGCGUGAGUGACGAAGGUCUUCGGAUUGUAAAGCUCUUUUGCCAGGGACGAUAAUGACGGUACCUGGAGAAUAAGCCCCGGCUAACUUCGUGCCAGCAGCCGCCGUAA